GGGUGACCUCAGAUCAGGUAGGGAUACCCGCUGAACUUAAGCAUAUCAAUAAGCGGAGGAAAAGAAACCAACAGGGAUUGCCUCAGUAACGGCGAGUGAAGCGGCAAAAGCUCAGAUUUGGAAUCUGGCGUCAUAUUGGCGUCCGAGUUGUAAUCUGUAGAGGAGUAUUCGAGUGUGGCGCUGGCUUAAGUUCCUUGGAACAGGACGUCAUAGAGGGUGAGAACCCCGUUAACGGCCUUUGUCUUAUGCUCAUGUGAAUCUCCUUCAACGAGUCGAGUUGUUUGGGAAUGCAGCUCUAAAUGGGUGGUAAAUUCCAUCUAAAGCUAAAUACUGGCAAGAGACCGAUAGCGCACAAGUAGAGUGAUCGAAAGAUGAAAAGAACUCUGAACAGAGAGUUAAAUAGUACGUGAAAUUGUUGAAAGGGAAGCACUUGCUACCAGACACGCCUGUAGUUGAUCAACCUUCAUUCUUGAUGGUGCACUCAGCUACAGGUGGGUCAGCAUCAGUUACGGCGGUGGGAUAAAGACUUGGGGAAUGUGGCUUCUCUCGGGAAGUGUUAUAGCCCUGGGUGUAAUACCGCCUGCUGUGACUGAGGACCGC
rnacentral:rRNA from 1 species